UUUGCCAAUCCCCUCUGCCCGCGCGUCAAAACCCUAGCCGCCAGCCCUGCUCGUCCCGAGCCUGCGCCCACUCCGCCCCGUUCUCCUCCCCGCUCCCUCCAUCCUCUCCCAUGGCGCCGCCCCUCUUCUCCCCACUCGCCUCGGCCGCGUCUUCUCCUCCCCCGCGUCGUCGGCCCCCUCCCUCCUCCUCCCCCCUCUGUCCUUCGUCAUCACACGGGUCUUCCGGCCAGUGCCGGGGUGCAGCUGACGGCGGCCUCAGCGGGUGGGCGAUGGCGGCCGCAGCUAUGCACAAGCUCGCAUCGCCCUGGCGCCGAUCUCGCGCGGCUCCUGCGCCUCGCCACCCUCUUCUCCCCAGCUCAGCAGGAGGUUUGCGAGGCCACCACUUGGGCCGCUGCUGCCUCUUCCGCCCAGCAGGAGGAGCACGAGGUGAGCAGCAACAACGGGGACAGGCGACCUCGGGGAGAGUUUGCGGAGGGGCGCAUAUCAGAUCCUUUCUGAAUCCGAUGGUGUCAAUCGAGCCACAGAGAGGAAGUGAGUUGGAGAUGAGAUGGGGACAGAAGAUCCUUCUCGGCUGGUUCCAAGGCCGUGAGGGGAAGGACUUCCUGUUGUCCGCCGGAGGGGAAAGAGCAGAGAUCCGAGAGACGAAGCAACCAGAGGAGCCGGAGAACACGACCCAUGUCCUAUGUACCGGCCACAUCCCCCACAGCUUCUGCGAGGACCAUAUGCAAGGUUUCUUUUAGCAGCUUGGGGUUAUUAAGAAGAGGGUCAGUAUUGCCCAGAACCGCAAGAGAGUGGAAGUUUUAGAAUGGUGCGGACAGGUUGAGAGCAAUAGAUGUUGUUUUAAGUCCUAGGCGAGCACUCCAGAUUGUUACUACCGAGAAUGGAAUUCAAGAAGAUAUACUUUUGGCGUUGUAUUAUUACCUCUCGUAUCUGAUAGAUAACACAAAGUUAUCAGUUUAGUUGGAAAAAGAAAAAGUCCAGAUCAAUUGUGAGGAUAUGAUCAUUGGCAUACUUACCCCCUGAUGAUGCCUCAUUUCUUCAGAAUUUGAGGCUGUUCUUGAUAUGCCAGGGUCAUUGGAUUGUUGGCUUCAGACAUACUGUACUGUUGGGCUUCAAGCGUACUUCAGUUCUAAACUUAUCCCUUUUCCCUUCAUUUUUCUAAGACUGUACUGUUGGGCAUUAAGUAGGAGUAGUUACUUAUACUAAGGAGCAGAUAUGUAUGACAUGUUAAUUUCACUUAUUUUUGGAACGAAGAUCUCACUUCAUUUAUAUUAGUCCUUGACGUCUGUGUUCUUUAUUGUGCAAAAUUGUUCCUUUCUGGGUAGAUGAAAGUGCAGAUUCCACCAAAGGAAGAUUUAGUAGGCUUUCUGUUACAUGUUGCUAAAAGUAAAUGAAUCGAAUUCUUUCUGUUUUGGUUCAGGACAAAUUUGAUUUUGGGAAGACAAAGGUCUGACAAGGAUGAGAAUGGGAUACCAGAUUACAACGGUGGAGGCUCGGACAUGGAUCUGCUCAUGCUCUCAACGGGAAUACUGGAUGUUCUCGAAGCUUUGCCAUACACACGUGCUACUUUUGGCACUUGCGUGGGCUCCAGUUUGUGUCAAUGCAAUUUGCAUCUGUCAGCGGAUUAUGGCGAGCUUGGUUAUUGGCCUACAGGGUGCUCCACCGAUGGUGAAAAUACCUCACAGGAUGAUGUUGGAUAUUAUUCUACAAACUUCGGGCCUACCGGUGGCUGAGUAUCGAAGCAAAAUGUGACAGUGGCAUGAUGUGGAUGACUAUAAUUUCCAUACACCAACAUUAUCUUUUGGAGAUAAAAUAGCCGUAUGGCUAUUACAUGAGACCAUGUCAGAAGACCCUGCUGCUAUGGAAGCAAAAUGAUUCAUGAAAUCUGCGGUGAAAACAGAGAUAAGAUACUACAAUUACAGCAGCAUUGAGAAACCGAGGACACGAAAUGAGUCUGAAAAAUGCUAUGGGCUAAUUCGUUCUAGCUAGGCGAUGUGUGGUAGAAGCUGUACUCACAGGAAGACUAUCGUGCUGUGUAUAAACCACGUUCUACGAUUCACUUCUGUUAUGCAUAUUUACUUUCCAGUUUUAGGACUGAAAUCCAUCCAUUGUAAUGAAUUUGGUUGUAUGGGCAUUACCUAUUUGACUUAGGCUUGCUUCAUCACAUAUAGACUGCUUUUCUUUUCCCCACUACUUGCAUGACCUAAAACUAUCAUGUAUAUGAGGCAAGUUAUUAGCAAUGUUUCACAUUUUCUUA